UUCAUCUCUGUUCGUAUUACAGAUAAGAUGUCUCUUGAUCUGCUCGGCGUGUCUGCCUUAUCCAUCGGAACUACCAGCGCGCCGUAUGCUUCCUGCGUCACGAACAGUCAACAAGUUUUCAUCUGAGAAGCACGACGUCCUCUGUUAACAAUGGGAUAGACCAACAACAUAUAAGCGACUGCAAGACAGCGUUUCAACUGGGCACGGCACGGCUGUGAUGGCAUAUUCAUCUCCGUUCGUAUUACAGGUGAACCAGAAGUCAGGGAACCCAUGCAAGAAUAUCAUCAACUGGCUUUUCGGAUCUCCAGCGGACACGUAGUGCAGUGUGACGUCCUGGAAAUAACAACUGCCAUGUAACUCGCCCUUGAUGGUUCUAAACGAGUGCAAAGUGAAAGACGGCAAAAGUCGUCUAUAUUUCGGCAGACACCGUACAGUUUCCCAUCUGAAAUGCCUGGCCCAUUGAGUCAAUGCCUACGGCUAUAGUACCUAAGGAAGGUGACCUUGUCCGAGUCCGGCUCUAGAUUGCACUGGUAGUAAAGUAGAAUGUCGAAUAAUUGCAAGCAUCACAAACUGCGAACGAAAAACACAGAAACUAUGGGUAGCUUCGACAUGUGGUCCUGCGAUUGCUCUAGAGCGCCCCGGCAAGACACUUUGUCUUGCUGGAUAGAACGAGCACUCUCUUCACUCUCUUUUCGAGAACUUGUCUCCGACUGUAAGAUACGGCAGGGUUCCGGUCACGUGAUCUGUGCCACCGACCGAGGACCGGUACAAAGAAGUCCAGUGUCUACAGAACGACGGAUGGAUUCCCGUAGAAAGGCAGGCAUCCGAUGAAGUACAUAUCAUGACUGGCACGGUUGGUUACCUCUUUAUAUAGUACUGCGUUUAGUACUGGAUUCAUAGCGUCGUCGGAGAAUAAUAACAAUAAGGAAAAUAACAAUGCUUUUGCCUCCCACUGUGUCUUUAGUGAAUGAGUCCAGUUUUCCAACGAGUCCCAAAGUGCACUAUGGCCUAUAACGAUAAGAAAGCAGAGGCAUAACAAUUACCGUGCGCUGUUAUCAUGGAAGCUGCGAUAAGGUGCGCUAAACUUAGUGUUUGUAUAUUUUGAUAUCAGUGCAGGCGACUGCCAAUGAUGUUUACCGUUAUUCUGCAAUGCUCCGUGAGGUGCCGAAGAAGAAUUCCGUUUACUCCAGCAGAGUUACGGAAUCGUACAAAAGGACAGAAUGAGCAGUUGCAGUGUUAUAUUGCGAAAUGUACUAUUUUAUGAAUACUCUUCUUCGUGGAGUGAUAAACCAUCAGAACGCAAAGGGAACUUAAGCAGGCCCGUCCAAGCGUGAACGUCCAAGUGGCCUGUGCCAACAUCACCACUAGGAGCAACAACAUUGCGACUCAGAGAGACAACUAUGAUACGCAUUGAAUAAUAAUAAAAAAAUUUCGAGACACAA